GAUGAACGCUGGCGGCGUGCCUAAUACAUGCAAGUCGAGCGAAUGGAUUAAGAGCUUGCUCUUAUGAAGUUAGCGGCGGACGGGUGGGUAACACGUGGGUAACCUGCCCAUAAGACUGGGAUAACUCCGGGAAACCGGGGCUAAUACCGGAUAACAUUUUGAACAGCAUGGUUCGAAAUUGAAAGGCGGCUUCGGCUGUCACUUAUGGAUGGACCCGCGUCGCAUUAGCUAGUUGGUGAGGUAACGGCUCACCAAGGCAACGAUGCGUAGCCGACCUGAGAGGGUGAUCGGCCACACUGGGACUGAGACACGGCCCAGACUCCUACGGGAGGCAGCAGUAGGGAAUCUUCCGCAAUGGACGAAAGUCUGACGGAGCAACGCCGCGUGAGUGAUGAAGGCUUUCGGGUCGUAAAACUCUGUUGUUAGGGAAGAACAAGUGCUAGUUGAAUGAGCUGGCACCUUGACGGUACCUAACCAGAAAGCCACGGCUAACUACGUGCCAGCCGCCGCAGUAA
rnacentral:rRNA from 1 species